rnacentral:rRNA from 1 species
AGUCGAACGUGAAAGUCUGAAACUUCGGUAGAGGGCUGGAAAGUGGCGGACGGGUGAGUAAUACGUAGGUGACCUGUCUCAAAGUGGGGGAUAACCAUUGGAAACGAUGGCUAAUACCGCAUUGUUUUGUAAAUCCGGGAGGGUUUUCAAAUAAAGCUCCGGCGCUUUGAGAGGGGCCUGCGUCUGAUUAGUUAGUUGGUGGGGUAAUGGCCUACCAAGGCGAUGAUCAGUAGCUGGUCUGAGAGGACGAUCAGCCACACGGGAACUGAGACACGGUCCCGACUCCUACGGGGGGCAGCAGUGAGGAAUAUUCGUCAAUGGGGGAAACCCUGAACGAGCAACGCCGCGUGGAGGAUGAAGGUUCUUGGAUUGUAAACUCCUUUUCUGAGGGAAGAGAGAGGACGGUACCUCAGGAAUAAGUCACGGCUAACUACGUGCCAGCAGCCGCGGUAAUACGUAGGUGGCAAGCGUUAUCCGGAUUUACUGGGCGUAAAGCGCACGCAGGUGGCUAUCUAAGUCUGACGUGAAAGCUCUUGGCUUAACUGGGAGAGGUCGUUGGAAACUAGAUGGCUUGAGGCAAUGAGAGGGGUGUAGAAUUCCCGGUGUAGUGGUGGAAUGCGUAGAUAUCGGGGGGAAUACCAGUGGCGAAAGCGGCACCCUGGCAUUGGCCUGACACUC